GCGGGAGUGGUGUAACUAGGCAGCCACGCAGGAUUUAGGUUCCUGUGCCUUCGGGCGUAGGGGUUCGAGUCCCCUCUCCCGCACGA
rnacentral:tRNA from 1 species